GCUAACGGCCACACCUCCCUGAGCACGCCCGAUCUCCUCUGAUCUCGGAAGCUAAGCAGGGUCGGGCCCGGUUAGUACUUGGAUGGGAGACCGCCUGGGAAUACCAGGUGCUAUAAGCC
ensembl:rRNA 5S_rRNA 5S ribosomal RNA